GGGGUGACCUGCGGAAGGAUCAUUACCGAGUUCUCGGGCUUCGGCUCGAAUCUCCCACCCUUUGUGAACAUACCUCUGUUGCUUUGGCGGCUCUUUGCCGCGAGGAGGCCCUCGCGGGCCCCCCACGCGCGCUUUCCGCCAGAGGACCUUCAAACUCCAGUCAGUAAACGUCGACGUCUGAUAAACUAAGUUAAUAAACUAAAACUUUCAACAACGGAUCUCUUGGUUCUGGCAUCGAUGAAGAACGCAGCGAAAUGCGAUAAGUAAUGUGAAUUGCAGAAUUCAGUGAAUCAUCGAAUCUUUGAACGCACAUUGCGCCCCUUGGCAUUCCGAGGGGCAUGCCUGUUCGAGCGUCAUUACAACCCUCAAGCUCUGCUUGGUAUUGGGCGCCGUCCUCUCUGCGGACGCGCCUUAAAGACCUCGGCGGUGGCUGUUCAGCCCUCAAGCGUAGUAGAAUACACCUCGCUUUGGAGCGGUUGGCGUCGCCCGCCGGACGAACCUUCUGAACUUUUCUCAAGGUUGACCUCGAUCAGGUAGUCCGUCAGU
rnacentral:rRNA from 1 species